rnacentral:rRNA from 1 species
GAUGAACGCUAGCGGCAGGCCUAAUACAUGCAAGUCGGACGGGAUUUGGGAGCUUGCUCCCAAUGAGAGUGGCGCACGGGUGCGUAACACGUAUGUAACCUACCUUAAUCAGGGGGAUAGCCUCUCGAAAGAGAGAUUGACACCGCAUAAUAUAUUUUUAUGGCACCGUAGAAAUAUCAAAUAUUUAUAGGAUUAAGAUGGGCAUGCGGAACAUUAGCUAGUUGGUAAGGUAACAGCUUACCAAGGCUACGAUGUUUGGGGGAUCUGAGAGGAUGACCCCCCACACUGGUACUGAGACACGGACCAGACUCCUACGGGAGGCAGCAGUAAGGAAUAUUGGUCAAUGGGCGCAAGCCUGAACCAGCCAUGCCGCGUGCAGGAAGACGGCCCUAUGGGUUGUAAACUGCUUUUGUACCGGAAUAAACCCUUUUACGUGUAAAAGGCUGAAUGUACGGUAAGAAUAAGGAUCGGCUAACUCCGUGCCAGCAGCCGCCGUAA